rnacentral:rRNA from 1 species
UUGACUGUACAAAGGUAGCAUAAUCAUUAGUCUUUUAAUAGAGGGCUGGAAUGAAAGGUUUCACGAGGAAUUGACUGUCUCAUUUUAUUUGUUUUAAAAUCUAAUUUUUUAGUUAAAAAGCUAAAAUUUUAUUGGUAGACGAGAAGACCCUAUAGAGCUUUACAUAAAUUAUAAAUAAAUAUUUUUAUAUUAAUAUUUUUAUUUAUUUUUAUGUUUUGUUGGGGUGACAAGAAUAUAUAAUUAACUUUUUUAUUUAAAUUACAUUGAUUUAUGAAUAUUAGAUCCAUUUUUAUUGAUUAUUAGACUAAGUUACCUUAGGGAUAACAGCGUAAUAU